GAGUUUGAUCCUGGCUCAGGAUGAACGCUGGCGGCGUGCUUAACACAUGCAAGUCGAACGAGGAAUUUUAAAUGAGACUUCGGUGGAUUUUAAAAUUCUUAGUGGCGGACGGGUGAGUAACGCGUGGGCAACCUGCCCUGUACAGGGGGGACAACAGCUGGAAACGGCUGCUAAUACCGCAUAAGACCACGGAGCCGCAUGGCUCAGUGGGAAAAACUCCGGUGGUACAGGAUGGGCCCGCGUUGGAUUAGGUAGUUGGUGAGGUAACGGCCCACCAAGCCGACGAUCCAUAGCCGACCUGAGAGGGUGACCGGCCACGUUGGGACUGAGACACGGCCCAAACUCCUACGGGAGGCAGCAGUGGGGAAUCUUCCGCAAUGGGCGAAAGCCUGACGGAGCAACGCCGCGUGAGUGAAGAAUUAUUUCGGUAUGUAAAGCUCUAUCAGCAGGGAAGAAAAUGACGGUACCUGACUAAGAAGCCCCGGCUAACUACGUGCCAGCCGCCGCCGUAAC
rnacentral:rRNA from 1 species